rnacentral:lncRNA from 1 species
GGAAAGAUAACAAACAUAUCCUUGCAGAGCCUAUGGUGUGGGCCAUGAACCGUCCUCUCCCCAAGCCUUUACUUAUAUUCCCAGGCCAACUCCUUUAAAAGAUGGGUCACAGCAUUAUUGUCUCUAAUGUACAAAGAAUUAGUUGUGGCUCCUAGAGUUAACUAACUAGUCAAAUUUACACCAGGAGAAGUGGCUGGGAAAACAAGGUGGGCUCAGAUAUGUUUCACUCCAAAUUCAUGGUCUUCCCAUCACACCUGCAAUGGAUUCACCAACACACAGAGGAUAGUGAAAGUCUCAGUUUAUUUUCUAGUUAGAUUACUAACUUUGUUUACAUGAGGCAACGCACUGUCAUCAAGAAAAAAGAAGACAACAAAGAAGAGAACUGUUUUGCAAUAGCAGGCAGCACAGCGCAGGAGCUCUCAGACUACCUCAGAUGCCAAGAGCCUGGUUUGAAUACAAGCCUUGCCAUUGUGUGACUUUGGGUUUAAAGACCCCUGACGUGACUUAUUGCCAUUCUGCUACUGAGCCUUGAGAGAUUAUGGCUUGACUGGAUUUACAAGAGACCUUUUGAAAAGAUGCAGAGAAGGCAAGCAGCACACAUUUCCUGGUAAUAAAUUUUAAAGGUUGCUAAAACAUUCCAGAGAUUUUCACUCAACAUUCCUCUGGCCAACACAUCUGCAAUCUGCCAAUCCUUAAAAAUAGGUGUUUUUGCAUUUUAAUCUCACAAACAUCUUUGAAAAUGCAUUUCUUCUCUGCCCCUGUGUUGGACAAAUCCAGCUUUUUCCAUUUUCUAAAAACCACAGAAAUAUAAUGCUGCUUAAUUCAUACAAGACUGAGCUAACUGGAGUUAAAAUAAAAUUUCUGAGAGUUUGUUUGGCUCACUCUUCCCUACCAGAUGAUUCCAUUCUUAAAACGGUCCUGUGAUUAUAUUCUCUCAUUACAGAGGUGUCCAGAAAAAAAAUAAGGAGUGCAGUUCUGAAAUUAUAUAAAAGCAAAAUUAUUACUCUAAACGUAAGAGCUGUGAUAGAUCGUGUCAUUGACCAUGGUUCUUUUCCCCUGACACACACGUCCCCACCACCCACCCACUGUAUCCAUAUGCCUUUUGCCAUAUGACUUUGCAGCUCUCCCCACUAAAGGGGCAGCCAUGCGAUUUGCUUUGGCCAAUGAAAUGAGGCAGUAGUGGUGGUAUCCUAGUUCUGAGCCUAGGUCUCAAGAAGUCUUAUGUGUUUCUGCUUAUCCUCUUAUACCUCUGCCAUCACCAUGAGCCAAACAUCCCCCAAGUAGCCCACUGGUCCCAGGACAAGGAGGGAGACAUGAAGCAGAGCUCAUCCAGCUGCUGCAGCCCCACUUGACCCAGAGACCUACACUGGGAAGCAGAGCUGCCCAGUCAAGUCCAACCUGGAUGUGUGGAACCCCAGCCAACCUGAUGCAUGAGCAGGAGAUCAGCUUAAUAUUGAAUCCUAGCCUCAAUGCUUUGGAUUUGUGCCAAGAAAAAUAACCUGAUCCCCAGAAUCAUUGAGAAUUGACGGGGGUCCUCAGGCUGCUCACGGCAUUGGAAGACAUCAUAAACAUUAAUGGAGAGCGGGAUGCCAGAAUAAGUUGAUCCAAAUGAUGCAGGAAUAUUUAGCAGCAAGGAGAAAGGAAUUCACAUUUCUCAGUACCCACUAUGUGCCAUACUUUGUGAUAAGAUGGUUUCCCUCCAAUAUAUCCUCAUUGUCAGCAAUGUCGGGAAACAGGAAUCAUUUCCCCUUCUACAGGUGAUAAAACUGAAGCAAGAAACAUACAGGCUAACAUCAGCUGAGCUGAGAUUUGAACUCCACUCUUUUUGACCCUGGAGCUGAUGAAUGCUGCUUCUAGAGGUUGAGUAUCCCUUAUCCGAAAUCCUUGGAACCAGGAGAUUUUUGGAUUUGGGAAUAUUUGCAUAUACAUAAUGAGAUAUCUUGGAGAUGGGACCCAAGUCUAAAUACAAAAUUAUUUUGUUGUAUAUACACCUUGUACACAUAGACUGAAGAUAAUUUUAUACAAUAUUUUAAAUAAUUUUGUGCGUGAAACAAAGUUGUGACUAUGUCUUGACUGUAAGACAUCUUGCAUGCAACCCAUCAUAUGAGGUCAGGUGCAGAAUUUUCCAUUUGUGGUGUCAUGUUAGUGCUCAAAAAUUUUCGGAUUUUGGAGCACUUCAGACUUUCGUUUUCCAGACGGGGGAUGCUCAACCUGUCUUAGAACCUGUGGUCUCCCAUCAUGCCUCCCUUCCCCAUUCCCUUGCUCCACUGGGGUCUGAGGUGGGAAAGCAAAAGGAGUUGCAGGUAACCCUCACUUUUCACACCAGGCAAUCUCUCCCCACAAUCUGUCACAUUCCUGAAGAACAAGGAAGCAGAGCACUCCACUGAAGAAAUUCUGUUAAAAUCUAUCCCCAACGUAUAAGCAUCCAUCUUUGUCCCAGUCUGGGUCUAACAUGAACAAAGUGCUUAAACAAUUCAGUAGAGGAGAAAGGGAACUUGGAGCAGCUCUGUCACCCUGAAGUGACACUGCCAUGCUGCAUUUCCUGUCUGUAAUAUCUCUUCAGAGCAAUUGUUUUCUUCUGUGAGGACACUUCAGAGAUUCACAGAGACAGAUGCUCUUGUGACUGACCAUAGCAAGUAUCAAAAGGCCUGGGUGGAAUUACGAAGCAUUUCUCGUGCACUGCGUAUUGGGAAGUGCUUCACAGCUGUGUGGCAGAUGUGAGUGGACAGAGGGGCAAGGGAACUGCCCCAAAGGAGGUGGCAGAGGAAGCAACAAGCCAGGGAUUGGCUGGCCGGUCCCAGCACAGCAACUGCAGCAGCAGCUUGCUAAGUUUCACAGGUGAAGCCAAAGGCUGGGGGGAAUGGAAAACAAAUAUCACUCCAUUAAAUUAAGGUCUGAGGAAAACAUGAUGAGGAAAGUCAAUAGUGAAUCAAAACAUUGAAAAGCCACUAACUUUGACUUUCCAUGUGCGUGUGCAAGUUCACGUGUGCAUGUGUGUCUGCAUGUCCAAGUUCUACACUGAUUCAAGAAAUAAUUAUAGAGGGCCUGCCAUAGGAUGGUGAGCAAAACAGUCUUGGCCUCUGUCCUGAUGGAGCAUGCAGUAUCACAGACUCUAUAUGUUCUAUUUCUAGGCCUUGUAUUUUGAGGAUAUAUGCCAGUGGAAUGAGAAUGGCUCUGUGACCUUGUUUAAGUCCCACCACUGUCUCAGGCAGGGUUUUCCAAAGUGUAGUCCUUAUACUAUUAUGUGGUGAAGAUGCUUAAUUGUUUUGUAAUUAUUUAAUGUGCGUAGGUAUCACAUCAAACCCAGUAUUUUCAAGGAUUUUUAUAGCUUAAGACAAGGCUUGUUAUAGGCAAGGUGGAUCAAUUCAAAAAAUAUAUGCUAACAAAAUAAUAGUGGAGGUGGUACAAAGAAACAGCAAAGGUAGUGAGAUGGCUUCACUGGUGUUUGUGAAUCACCAAGAUAAUGCACGUGGAAAUAAAAAUCAGUGUGGUCCAUAGAAAUACAAGGGGUUCUAAUUACCCCUCAGUGAGCACUUGCUCUCUCACUCACCCCAGCAAUGACAUAUUAAGCAAAGCACUGCCCUGACUGCAUAUGCUCUUGCCGACAACUUGGCCAGCAUUCAGAAGACACUAAGUGUGCUCUGGGAACUUCAGAAGGCACUAACAUUCCAUGGAGAACUUCACAAAGAGUGAGACCUAGUCCCUGGCCUAAAGAGAGUAUAAUUUAGUAGGAAAGAGAAGACAAACACACAAAUAACUGUAAAAUGGGAUAAGCCCCAAAGUGGAGGUACAAAGUCCCAUAGAAGAGGCUCAAUGAUAAGUCACGCCUGCCGGGUAAGGUCAAGAAAGACUUCAUGGAGAUUUGAGAUGGCAUCUGAGAUAAGCCAGGAAAGACGGUAGAAUUUCAACAACCAAAAAAGUGGGGAGAGGGAUGGGAGGCAUUCCAGAGAAGGAGAAAUGCUUGAGCAAUGGUACAGAGACCAGGAAGUUAUAUGAGGGCAGAAAGUCCCUGCUGUCUAUUUAGCUGGGAUAUAGAAUGCAAGUCAGUUAGAUGAUUAGGUGGGGUUAUAACAUAACUAGCCUUAAAUAGUGGACUGAGAAUUUUCCACUUAAUUUAAUGCAAAUGGCAGGGGAGGGGGCAGGCAAUGGAGAGCUGAAAACAGGACUGGAGAUGCGCUGGAGGGAAGUAACCCUGGAAAUGGGUGAAGUACGGGUUACUGUCACCCCAGCUCUGGUUCUUGUUAUUCCCUAGGAGAAGCAUAAUAGAAGUGUGAAUUUAGGGUAGCCAAAUGAUGACUUUGCAGAGGGAAUCUUUAGGACUUGUGACUUGAUUAAAAGCAGGGAGAUGGAUAGGGAACGUCCAAGGAUAACUAGAUAACUAGAGCUCUCCUGUUCCUCUGACUCAUGUGUGCUGAAACUGUAGAGUCAAACAAACACUUGUAAGUGGCGUGAUGUAAAUCCCUUAGGGGCCCAUGCCUGCCUCAAGAGAAGAACGUGUGGUCAGGAAAAACGACCGGGGGAAGUGAAAACGACACAAGACCCAGAGGAUAACCCUUAUUUUAUUCACACAUGCAAAUUUAGGCACAGCAAAAAGCAAAACGAAGUAUACCAAAUGUCAAGGGUUAAUUAUUAAUCAUUUCUAUAUUAAAUUAUGAGUUUUUCAGUAAGACACUUUUUGAUAAGAAACUUGAAUUACGUUCAUAACCAUCAAAAUAAAGAAAAUAAAAGAGACAGAUUUUCUUUGGUGGUGGGAGAACAUUAAGUAUUGUGGAAGCCUGAAAAAUGGUCCCCAAAAGAAUCUGGUCCUAAUCCUUAGAACUUGUGAGUAUUAUCUUACUUGGAAAAAGGGUUGUUUUAAGAUAAGGAUCUUGAGUUGGGAAGAUUGUCCUGAGUUAUUCAGGUAGGCUGUAAAUGCCAUCACAGGCAACCUUUUUACAUGGAUAUUUGACACAGAGUGGAGGAGACACCCAUAGGAGAAGGCUAUGUGAAGACAUAGCAUCGAGACACUUGAAGAUAUUGGCCUUCAAAUGGCACAGCCACAAGCAAAGGAAUGCCAGCAGCCACCAGGAAAAAGCAAAGAAUGGAUUCUCACCUAAAGUCUCCAGAGGGACUGUAGAGUAUCCUGCCAACACCUUGAUUUUGACUCUGUGAAACUGAUGUCAGGCUUCUGGCCUCCAGAACUGUGAGAGAAGAAAUUUCUGUUGUUUUAAACCUUCGAAUUUGUGGUAAUGUGUUAGAGCAGCCACAGGAAACUCAUAUUCUAAACUAGCAACUAUGAAAUGAGAAUUUCUAGUGUUCAGCUAAGAUACCACCGCAGAAGCAGCUGGAUAAUAUCAGAUGAGCCGAAAACUUCUCUUACCCCAUUUCCUUAUCCAUAAAAUUAGCAAAUAAUACCUGUCUUGCAGAGUUAAUUUUAAAGUUAUACAAGUAAAUACACUUUGAAAGUGACAAGUACUAGAAAAAUGUAGGGAAUUAUCCUACAAGUCUGGGUAUCCCCACCACCCAAGGCACAUGAAUGAUGCACAAUAAAAUAUACAAUUGGUUAGAAAUAGAACAAAGUGUUGAAAGUGCUUCAAAGCUCGAAAUGUAGGGCAUGAGGAAUGAAGGAAAUUCAGUUCAGGAAUAAAAUAUUUAUUCAGCAUCACUAAUAAGCCAGGCACUCUGCCAGAACCCAAAGGUAUAAAGAGGAACAAAUGAUAAUUCCUGCCCUGUGGAUGGCUUAUAGUCUAGGGUAGCAUUUUUACAGUGUGUUCACAGACCACUAAGCUCUCAAAUUUCUAUUUAAAGAUGCCAAAGGACCCAAGAUCAAGUGCUAUAUUCUAAUAUCUACCCUCUCCAUUUCCUACCCCCUCCCACAACCACACUUUCUGUAGACUCACAAUGUGUUAGUUAAUUUAAGGCAUUGAGUCCUGUUGUUAAUAAGCUGACUUGCCCUUAAUUAUCACAGGCUUUUCCAAAUUUCCUUGACAUGCACUAACCAUUUAACCUUGGGGAAAAGAAUGGAAUAACAUUCUUGCCUGCCUGUUGUAGCUGUCAUCAUAUUUAAAUGUAAUAAAACAUGGAAAGUGUUUAAUAAUUAUGGUGCUCUAGGCAAAAUAGCAGUCCUUCAAAAAUGCCCAUGCCCUAAUCUCCAGAACCUGUGAAUAUGUUACCUGACAUUGUAAAGCAACCUUGUAGGUGUGAUUAAAGUUACAAGCUCUGAGAAGAGAAAAUUACUCUGGAUUAUCUGGGUGGGCCCAGCUUAAUCAUAUGAACCCUUAAAAGUGGAGAAUGUUUUCCAGCUAAGGUCAGAGAAAGAGACUUGACAAAGGAAGAAGGGUCAUAGGGAUGUGAUACCGCUAGCUUUAGAGAUGAAGGAAGAGGACCACAGCCAAGAAAUGUGGGUAGCCUCUGAACACAAUACAAGGCAAGGACACGGGCUCUCUCCUUGAGCCUCUAGAAGGAGCACAGCCAUAAGGCAUUCUUAAACUAUGUCGCUUACCUUACCUACCUCAUCCACUUACUACUUGUAUGGCUAAUGGCAUGAGGAAGUCACUAAAACUCUCCGAGCCUUCCUGGCCUCCACUUAAAUGGGAGUGGUACCCACAGAGGGUCAGGAGGCUCAAUCAAAUCUCAAAUUCAUUAUCUCUUGCUUCUCAUGCACAAGUCAGUGUCAGCAGGAGGCAUCAGUGCUUCUGCAAAAAUAACUAAUUCAACAUUACUUUGUCAGAUCACAACCCUUCUUUGCUAAAACCUUCCAGAGGCUCCCUGUCUCACUCACAGAACAACCUCAUGGACUUCCUCUGUUCUCAGGAUUCUCAUGACACAAUAUGACCCCAUUUCCUCUGACUAUAGGUCCUUCCUCUCUCCCCCUUCCUGAUGGUGCUCCAGCCAUACUGGCCACCUUGCUGUUCCUGAGGCACACCAGGCAGCUUCCAGCCUCAGGACAUUUGCACUUGCUGUUUUCUCUGCUUAGAGCCCUCUUCCCCCAUAUCCACAUAGCUUGCUCCCUCAACUCCUUUAGAUCUUCAUUCGGCUAUUACCUUCUUCCUGAGGCCUUCCCUAACAACCCUAUGAAAAUUGCAAUACCUGCCAGCCAAACAUUCCCCAUCCUCCCUUCACUUUAAUUUCCGCCAUAGUAAUUUCAUCUUCUCACAUGCUGCAUAUUUAACUGUUUUGUUUACUUUCUUUCCUCCAUUGGAAUAUAAGCUCUAUCAGGGCUUUUCAUGAAGGACAUGCAAGUAGAUGCUUGAUAAAUAUUUGUUGGAUAAAUAAAUCAGUGCAUAUACCAAUCUGAAGUCACAAAAUCAAUAUGAGCAUCACCUUCCACUAAAGACAUAUCCUUUCAGUUAUCGAUGAAAAAUGAAGUUGAAAACACAAUAAUCAGCCUGUCAUUGAACAAUGCAGCUGCAGCUAAGAUCAAGUUCUUGACUGACUUUGCCGAGCCCAACCAAUUCAAAGGAAGAAUAAAAACAUGGUCAAGGGACCCAAGACCCAGCUCUUAUCCCCUACUCAGAGAAAACCCAGAGAGAACCAGCCUUCUGAUGUCUUGUCCUUCCUGGUUUUGACCAACCUCUAAAAACCAUAAGAACAGUUUGUCUCAGUAUUUCAGUACUUCCGCUUCCAGGCCCAGGAAAGAGCAGGAAGUGCAGGGGCGUGUGAAAAUCAAGAAAAAAGAAGAAUUAAACCCGCUACACAUGAAGCGCUCAAAGACUUCCUCUGUAACCUGUUGCAGCACACGAGUUUCAAUGUGCUUUCACUGAGAGCCCAGGGGGACUGUGCUGUCCCCAGAAUUUCGCACCAUGCCCCACACUCUCAAUGAACACUUGUUGCCUAAAAAAAAAAAAUUAAAUUUUAAGACCUUCAGUUUCUCUAUUUGUAUAAAGUGAUUAUAAAACCUACCUUAUGGAGCUGUCUGAUGAUCACAUAUGAAAUCGCAUAUGUUAAGUGCUUAUGCAGCGUCUGGCACAUGAUCAGCAUUAAUUUUAUGUGAACUGCCAUUUUGAUGGCAGUGGUGGCGAUCUGAUGGUGGAGGAGGUUUAGUUAGCGCUGGGUAGAUUGUAACAUAUACCUAUCCUUAAUGAUUUGUUCAACCUGGAAUUUUGGACGGAGCCUGGGCCUGAGGAGUUGAACCUUAGAGUGAUCCAUUUCUCUUGGAAAAGUCCUGUUCAGUUUGAGCAAGAAACUCUGGAAAGGGGAAGGAUGUAUUUUAAUCCCAGCUACCAGGGUGACAGGCAGCAGAACUGAAACAGCAUGACUAAGCACAGACCAUCUCCUUUCAUUACAUGGGGGGCUGAGGUCUUUCCUCUCUACUGCCAGGGACUGGAGAAAGGAAAGAUACCCAGUUUAAUUGCAUCUGAUAAACGGAUAGUAAAGUCCAAGAGUAGACAAUUGGAAUAUUUCCCCAGCCUUUUUCCUGUUAGGUUCUCAAAGCUAGAAAAAAAAUGCUGAAUGUCUUUUCCCUAACUUCAUAUCGCCAUAUGAAGCCCAGCUAAGUUUCCCUUGAAGUUCACUAGCCCAUUUCCUCUGUAGGUCUACAGGGGCCACCUGCCAAUGUGCAGGGAUUAAAUGAAGAAAUAAAGACCUAAGGCCUUUCUAGAAGCUAAAAACCCUAGGACUCCCUAAACACUUUGGAGUUGCAGCUCCCAUUGGUUAAGAGGUAUGGAUCGCAUAGUUUCAAGCUGAGCCAUGCUUUUCGGAAUACUCUGCUUUUUCUCAUCUUUUUCCACUAUAGUAAUACUAUAAAUGAGAUCUCUUCCAGAAAUAAAGGCAGAAAGCCCCAAGCUCGAUGCUAAAGAUGUUUGUGACAGAGUUCUGCAAGAAUAGGAUAUUUGCAGUCUCGUCUGCGAUAAUCAUUUCAGAAGUGGCUGCUGAUACUGGACUAUGUGGCAGAGGAGACUCCUGACUUUCACUUCUCUAAAUAACCAACAACUCCUCACUGUCCCUGUGUAAAGCUAUCAUGGCUGUGGGGAAGGAGAGACACUUCAAGGACAGCUCAGAGCAAAGUACCAGUUUAAAAUCUUCUCACGAGAAGAGCAGCAUCCUUCACUCAUUUGUCCUUUCACUGAGGGUGCACUACAUGUACUCACUGUGCUAGAUAUUGGGAAUACAGGGCUGAGUGAGACAUGGGCAGACUCCCUGAGAGGUAACACUCAGACUACAUCUCAAAGGAUAACUAGAUAUCCGCCAAUCAAGAUGGAGCAGCAGGCCAGGUAUACAGGCUCAGCAUCACUUUGGGCGUUGCUUUAUCUUAAAAAGCUGCCUGAACCACUUAAAGGGACCCACUGCUGCCUUCAAAAGAGUACAGUGAUAUGCAUCUUCCUGAGGUCUUUCUAAGCCACUUCUGGAGCUAGAUAUAUGUUUCUCAGAUGUCUCUGAAACAAGGUUUCCAGGCAACUACAUCUGAGGCCAUUGGUGCUGCAAUAUGACUGAAAGGAAAGAGGGUGUGUACUUCAACAGCCUUGCUGUAAGCAAGGUGGCUUCAUCCCCUCCCCCCACCUGAAAUUGAGAAACACAGAAGUGACCACAGUCCUAGGCCACUGUGUGCAAAAAUGGGAAAUGUCACUCAUCAGGUCCUCUCCCACGUUUAACCAGAAUCAUCAGCCUAUAGAUUCGGGAACUGAGUGGCUUGACCAUUUUGCACGUAAGCCAUAUGCAAUUGGUCCAAAGGAGACCAGUGAGCAACAAUUCAAUUUAGAGUUCACUGAACUCUCUGGUUUGGGAAGGAAAUUGCUAGUAAUCAAUUGCAGCAAGCAUACAGGCUCAGGGCCAGGAAGAGAAAAAUCACUUUAAUGGGCAAAGCAGAUGUUGCUAAAUUCAUUGCAAAAGUGAGAUGGGCACAGAGCCAGGCCUUGCAUGAGAGAUGCUGAUCUGUUCUCCUGAAUGAACAAAACAGAGACAUUUCAAAAAGGGGGGUUUCUAUGAAAGAAGCCAGAGGUCUGUGUCCCUGUUAGAGUAAAUAAAAGAAAAUGCACCCAGGUGUUCAGGUCCCCCAUACCACCACAGGACUUAAAGUUGUUAACAUCUUACGAGGAUUUUUAAACAAAUCCAGAAUACUAGCAAAAACUGCCUGGGGAGUCUUCAUUCGGUUCUAAGGAGAGUAUGUGGUAGAGUAGAGAGAACACGGGCUUUGGCAUCAGAUCUGUUUCUUCCAUGAAUUAGUUGCUUCCACCACCAAGAAGUUGUAUGACUUGGGCAAAGUUCUUAACACCUCUCAGUCUCAGUUUCCUCCACUGUAAAAUGGGCCUAAUGUCAUUUACCUUAUUAGAGCAGUUGUGAGGACUAGUGAUAAUGUCUGUAAAGUAUGGUAGAGAAAUGCACUUAAGCAAUAACAUGUUUUCAGAACCAUGAAAAGACUAGUGACACUAGGAUGUGGGGAGAAUUGGUUAAUGACAGGGCAGGGUGGGGUGGGAUGGGGAGAAUUUCUGGCCCAAUAUUGACCAGCUUUGGCACGUGCUCUUGGUGAAGGAUUACUUCACAGGUCACAUGUUUCUUUGCAUGCUUAGGCUGAUAAAACAUCUCUCAAGAAUAUAAGAGCUCAGCAAGUGUAGGAGCAUAGCCCAAGAAAGGUCACUGUGUGUACUUAGAACAUUUUCAUGGAGUAGCUUCAAAUGCAAGCCUCCUAAAAGAGAGUUGAUUCUGAUUCCCCAAAUCUGAAAUGUUCUUUACUUACCUAAUUCCCACUCAUCCUUCAAGGCCCAACCAGAGUCCCUCCUCUGAGAAUCAUCCCAAAUUCCUCUGGAGCUCACCAUCUCUACCUACUCACAUAUUGCCCAGUUUAUAUCAGCUGCCUUCAAUCCUUCCUGGAACAAGACAUUAAUCCCAUUCAGUAAAAACUUUAAAUGCUACUUACUCAAUUCUUUGGCCUGUCAUAGUAAAGUGUCAUACACUGAUCAUCACCUGAAUCAUGUGGUUCUACCCCAAAUACUUAGCAACUUCCUAGAGUUUAGAUAUUGAACUUGCACUAAUUAAAAUCUCUAAAUCAGAAGGCAGAGAGAGCUGAGGGCUCUGACACUUGACUAGUUGUGUGAGCUUGGGCCAAGUUUCAUGGCCUUCUCAAGCCUUAGUUCUCUCAUCUGUAUACUGGAGAUAAUAAUAGCACCUUCCUCCUAGGACUUGUGUGAGACUUUCGUGAGCUCGGUCCUGCAAAGUGCUCAGCACUACAUUGUUAGCUGAGUAGUAACAGUCACUUUCCUGAAAGCUUCUUCACCCAGAGGGGCUAGCCCAUGCCUGUGCACAAAGAAUGUCAAAUUACAUUCACACCCCCUGAGAUUUCCAAGCUACAGGCCAUUUUCACAGUGGCCACUCUCCAGAAAGCUAAGUCCUGCUGAAAGUAUGUUUCCAAGUUGCCAUCACCUUUAGAAUAUUUCUGAUAAGCAAGCAAAACUGCCUGUGGCCUUUGGCAGUGAAUUUCUGGGGGCUGGUAAGAGGAGGAUGUUUACCAGAGCACAAAGGCCAGGUCAUAAGCAGAGAAUAUUUUGGCCCAGACAGAUCCCAGAGAAGGCAUUUUUGCCAAGCACAGACUCCAUUCUCAGGUCCUGAAGUCAGCAUUAGACACUAAACAAACCUUCCCGGGUUCACAUUUGUUUACUUUUGGCCAAAUGCAACUUCCUGUUUGAAAGGAAAAGGGCAGUAAAGCUUUCUAUAGCCUUCUUGGACAUAAAGGCUCUACUUGAAACAAUUGAUUUGCUAAGGAUAAAUGAAUCAAACGUACACAAUGGGGAUCUCCCCUCCCCUCAAAAUGUUCAUGUUUCAACAGGGAAAGUGCUCAACAAAACCAAAACAAAUAUUUUUUCAACUGCUGGCCAAUGAAGAUUGUUUAGGCCAUUUCUUCUCCUGAGAGCAAGAAAAACAGACAUCAGGAGAGAGCUGAGUUACAUGUGCUGUGUCAGAGAAGUCACUGCGACACACUUGGGGGUUGAGAUUUCAGUUACACAGAAAGUCACAAAGUUGAAGUUCCCACAGCCACUCAAACCACAUUCCCUAGCAUGAACACAGAACAACCAGCUCUUUCAUUACGUGACUACGUCCCAAACCACGUCCUUCAGGAUCCUGAAAUUCCCUCGGAUGCCCAUGCGCCCUGCACCUAGGUUUGAAAACUGACUACCAACCCCACAUAAAUCCACCAUAAGAUUUUACAAGGAUUCAAAAUAACUUACUCUGUGUGAGGAGGUGGGGGAUGGGGAGGGGAGGUCUGUACUUUUAGAGCAUCUAGCAAAGUUAGCAUAAAAUAUAGACUUUAACUUGGGUUUAUAUAUAAAAUGAAGGUGCUCUCUACAAAUCUUGAAUCUCCUUGUCAUAAAAUAUUAAAUUUGUAAAGGACCUUAAAAAUCUUCUGGUCAACCUCCCCCUAUACACAAAUAUAUAAAUAAUAUAGAUGAGGAGUAAAGAGGUCGGGAGACAUUUCCUCCUUAGACUGUAGACGUCUUGCUUCUUAGGGCAAGAACUAUUUUGCUUAUCUUCUUAUUCUUUAAC